AGCAUAUCAAUAAGCGGAGGAAAAGAAACUAACAAGGAUUCCCUUAGUAACUGCGAGUGAACAGGGAAGAGCUCAAAUUUAAAAUCUGGCAGUGUUUGGCUGUCCGAGUUGUAAAUUAGAGAAGUGUAUUAUGCUGAACCCUGUGCAAAAGCUUCUUGGAACAGAGCAUCAUAGAGGGUGAUAAUCCCGUCUUUGGUACAGGCUGUGUAGGCUAUUCCAUACACUUUCAAAGAGUCGAGUUGUUUGGGAAUGCAGCUCUAAAUGGGUGGUAAAUUCCAUCUAAAGCUAAAUAUUGGCGAGAGACCGAUAGCGCACAAGUACCGUGAGGGAAAGAUGAAAAGAACUUUGAAAAGAGAGUUAAACAGUACGUGAAAUUGUUGAAAGGGAAACGCUUGAAGUCAGUCAUGUCCUUAGAUAAUCAACCCAACUUUGGUUGGGUGUACUUUCUAUUGGACAGGUCAGCAUCAGUUUUGAUCAUUGGAGAAGGGGUCUAGAAAGGUAGCAUCUUUUGGGAUGUGUUAUAGUCUGGACUUAAAUACAGUGAUUGGGACUGAGGAACUCAGUGUGAUCAGGCUUUGGCUUGGUUUGGAGGUUUCGGCCUUACAUACGCGCUUUGGAUGCUGGCAUAAUGGCUUUAAUCGACCCGUCUUGAAACACGGACCAAGGAGUCUAACAUACAUGCAAGUGUUUGGGUGGAAAACCCAUGCGCGAAAUGAAAGUGAAAGUUAAGAACCCUCAAGGGUGCAUUGACGCCCGGCCCUGAGCAAUUUGCGACGGAGCUGCGGUAGAGCAUGCAUGUUGGGACCCGAAAGAUGGUGAACUAUGCCUGAAUAGGGUGAAGCCAGAGGAAACUCUGGUGGAAGCUCGCAGCGAUUCUGACGUGCAAAUCGAUCGUCAAAUUUGGGUAUAGGGGCGAAAGACUAAUCGAACCAUCUAGUAGCUGGUUCCCGCCG
rnacentral:rRNA from 1 species